CCUACUGGGGACAUCAUUGGGGAAUAUUGGGCAAUGGGCGCAAGCCUGACCCAUCAACUCCGCUCUACGUCCUCCUUCUUUCUUUUUUUCCCCUUCUUUUUUCCUUUCCGAAGCAAGUGACGGUACCUGACGAAUAAGCCACGGCUAACUACGUGCCAGCAGCCGCGGUAAUACGUAGGUGGCAAGCGUUAUCCGGAUUUACUGGGUGUAAAGGGCGUGUAGGCGGGGAAGCAAGUCAGAUGUGAAAACCACGGGCUCAACCUGUGGCCUGCAUUUGAAACUGUUUUUCUUGAGUGCUGGAGAGGCAAUCGGAAUUCCGUGUGUAGCGGUGAAAUGCGUAGAUAUACGGAGGAACACCAGUGGCGAAGGCGGAUUGCUGGACAGUAACUGACGCUGAGGCGCGAAAGCGUGGGGAGCAAACAGGAUUAGAUACCCUAGUAGUC
rnacentral:rRNA from 1 species